rnacentral:rRNA from 1 species
AUUGAACGCUGGCGGCAUGCUUUACACAUGCAAGUCGGACGGUAGACCCUUUCGGGGGUUGAGAGUGGCGAACGGGUGAGUAAUGCAUCGGAACGUGCCUAGUCGUGGGGGAUAACGUAGCGAAAGUUACGCUAAUACCGCAUACGCACUGAGGUGGAAAGCGGGGGACCGUAAGGCCUCGCGCGAUUGGAGCGGCCGAUGUCGGAUUAGCUAGUUGGUGAGGUAAAGGCUCACCAAGGCGACGAUCCGUAGCGGGUCUGAGAGGAUGAUCCGCCACACUGGGACUGAGACACGGCCCAGACUCCUACGGGAGGCAGCAGUGGCGAAUUUUGGACAAUGGGCGCAAGCCUGAUCCAGCCAUGCCGCGUGCGGGAAGAAGGCCUCGGUGUAAACGCUUCGUCAGAAGAAUACGCAUGGACUAAUACUCUGUGUGGAUGACGGUACUGUAAGAAGAAG